GAGGUUGUGGUGAGCCGAGAUGAGGUCAUUGCACUCCAGCCUGGGCAACAAGUGUGAAACUCCGUCUCAAAAAAAAAAAAGUUUCCUUAAAUAGUUACUGGCUUUAUUUAAGGACUUCUCCAUCUCCCAUCACACAUCCUUUAUAACAGACUGAAGUUGGCAGAGAACAGAAUGAUUUAUUUUUAGGGUAAAUGGAAGUUUGUUCUCAGCCUCUUGGUUUCACUUACUGUUUAAAACCAUUGUUUUGCAGCUAUCAGUUGAGGGAUUUGCAGUUGAUAAAAUGGCUGGAGAGGUUAAGGCUUUCUUCGAGAGUCACCCAGCUCCUUCAGCUGAGCGUACCAUCCAGCAGUGUUGUGAAAAUAUUCUGCUGAAUGCUGCCUGGCUAAAGCGAGAUGCUGAGAGCAUCCACCAGUACCUCCUUCAGCGGAAGGCCUCACCACCCACAGUGUGAAUCCUGAGGUGCCGCCAUUGGCGGUUCUGCUGCUUCGCUGCAGGGAUAAGGUGGAGCUACCGAACAGCUGAUUCAUAUGCCAAGAAUUUGGAGUCUUCUUUCAAACCAGUGGGGGUUGGACAAUGAAUGUAGUUAACUGGUUCCUGCUCACACUCCAGAAUUAAAUUCUAUUGAAAAAGGAAAAUCAGCAAUUCAGCAAAAAAUAAAUAAAAA
rnacentral:lncRNA from 1 species